GGAGAGGUGGCCGAGUGGUUUAAGGCAGCGGUCUUGAAAACCGCCGUGCGUUAACGCGUACCGUGGGUUCGAAUCCCACCUUCUCCGCCA
rnacentral:tRNA from 4 species